rnacentral:rRNA from 1 species
AGUGAACGCUGGCGGCGUGCUUAAUACAUGCAAGUCGAACGAUGAAGUCCUAGCUUGCUAGGAUGGAUUAGUGGCGCACGGGUGAGUAAUAUAUAGUUAAUCUGCCUUGCACUGAGGAACAACAGUUGGAAACGAUUGCUAAUACCUCAUACUCCAACUUUACAUAAGUUAAGUUGUGAAAGUCUUUUCGGUGCAAGAUGAGACUAUAUCGUAUCAGCUAGUUGGUAAGGUAAUGGCUUACCAAGGCUAUGACGCGUAACUGGUCUGAGAGGAUGAUCAGUCACAUUGGAACUGAGACACGGUCCAAACUCCUACGGGAGGCAGCAGUAAGGAAUAUUGUGCAAUGGGGGAAACACUGACGCAGCAACGCCGCGUGGAGGAUGACACUUUUCGGAGCGUAAACUCCUUUUGUUAGGGAAGAAUAAUGACGGUACCUAACGAAUAAGCACCGGCUAACUCCGUG